rnacentral:tRNA from 1 species
GGGUGUGUAGCUCAGGUGGUUAGAGCGCAGUCCUGAUAAGACUGAGGUCGAAGGUUCAAGUCCUUCCACACCCACCA